UACGGAGGGUGCAAGCGUUGUCCGGAAUCACUGGGCGUAAAGGGCGCGUAGGCGGCUCAUGAAGGCUGUGGUGAAAGUUCGGGGCUCAACCCUGAAUCGGCCGUCGAUACUCCUGGGCUCGAGCACUGUAGAGGCAGAUGGAAUUCCGGGUGUAGCGGUGGAAUGCGUAGAGAUCCGGAAGAACACCGGUGGCGAAGGCGGUCUGCUGGGCAGUUGCUGACACUGAGGCGCGACAGCGUGGGGAGCAAACAGG
rnacentral:rRNA from 1 species